CUUGUUUGGCACUCUCUGGGCUUCCUGGAUCUGGAUGUUUUUUUCCUUUCCCAGGUUAGGGAAGUUGUCAGCCAUUACUUCUUCAAAUAAGAUUUCUGCCUCUUUCUCUCUUCUCCUUAUGGGACCCUAUAAUGUGAAUACUGGUCCACUCGAUGCUGUCCCAUAAGUCUCUUAAGCUAUCUCAUUCUUUUUCAUUCUUUUUGCUGCUCUGACUGGGUGAGUUCCACUGCCCUGUCUUUGAGUUCACUGAUCCCUUCUUCUGCUUCAUCUAGUCUGCUGUUGAGCCCCUGUAGUGUAUCUUUCAAUUCAGUUAUUGUAUUCUUCAGCUCUGUGACUUCUAUUUGGUGCUGUCUUACAGUUUCUAUCUCUGUUGAAAUUCUCAUUUUGUUCAUGCAUUCUUCUCCUGAACUCAGUAUCUUUAUGACCUUUAUUUUGAACUCUUUAUCAGGUAAAUCACUUACCUCCGUUUCAUUAAAGUCUUUCUGAGGUUUUACUUUAUUCUUUUGUUUGGAACAUAUUCCUGUUUCUUCAUUUUCUUUGACUGUAUUGGUUUUAAUGCAUUAGAUAAAAUAGCCUCCUCUCCCAGUCUUGAAGGCAUGGCCUCGUGUAGGAGAUGAACCUUAUCCUUCAACCUUUUCCCAUCUCUUGGUUGCCUCUCAUAUCUUUGUGCUUGGCCAAGCAGCCGGCUUUAUUUUUAGUGGUUUCCAGUAGUUGAGGGUGUGCCAAGACCUGUCACCGUCCCAAAGGGGAGGAUCUUAGUCAACAUCUAGAUUCAGGCUGAUGGGAAGCCAGGCCCUCAGGCAGCAGCUAUUAAGGUAUGCAAUAUACCUCUUUCAGGGGAAGACUGGGAGAUGAGCACUUUCUGUCUGUUCCCUCUGCACUGAGCCCUGGGGUGAUAGUUAGUUAAGAACUAUUUAUUUGUUUGCCUGUGAACACAAGCCCUGCUGGCCAACAGUACCAGGUGAUCAAGAGAUGUGUACACAAGAUCCUUUCUUGGAGACACUGGGGACCUGGGGUGGGGCAGAGGGAGAGCGUGAAGAUGGCACCUGCCACCCUCCCUUGUCUUAAGAGCAUUGUAGUUGGUCCCUCGAUGUGUGUUUAAUUAAAAGCCUACCCCUCAGGCCACCACUAUGAAGACAUGGGAAUAGGCCUUUUUCACAGGAAGACGGGUCACUUUUCAGUUGGCUGCCUUGCUGGUGGUAGCCAGGUGAGACCGUGGGCACAAGCCUUUUAAGAACCGUUUCUCAGUUUGCUGCAGCCUGCUGGUCUCAUGGAUGUAAACCCCGUGGCUUUCAAAGCUAGAUGUUUUGGGGGCUCGUCUUGGGUGUAGGUCUUCACAGUUGGGGUGCUAGCUGAGGGGUGCACACCCUUUGCUCCUCAGGGAGAAGCGUGGAGUUGUAAGUCCCCUCCUGAUGGUGGGCACCAUGCCAGGGAUGGAGUUUAUGGUGAGACUGUGUCUUGGCCUCUCCUACCUAUUUUGAUGAGUUUUUUCUCAUUUGCCUAAGGUGUAGGAGUUGCUCAGGCAGUUUUUGGGUUUCUUUCAGAGGAAAUUCUUCCCUAUGUAGCUGUAGACAUGGUGUGUCCACAGGAGGAGGUGAGUUCAGGAUCCUCCUACAUCAUCAUCUUGACCUGGGACUCAGUAAACUUGUUUCUGAUGUAACUUAAAAUACAGUCAGUUUAAAUGUGAUUUACAGCUUAAAUUGGUUUGUUGCUGAAUCUUCCAUUUGUAGCACAUAUGAUCAAAACGAGAGCGCAUAGAUGACAGUCUGAACCCAUUCCUUCCUUCCCAAGUUGUUCACCCAGUCUGCAGCUGUACUGCAAGAGUGCCAUGGGUGGAUUCCAUGAAAUCCGAAACACAACUCAGAAAUGCCCACGUCUUCAUUUACAAUAAGAUACUUAUCUAUGCAAGGAAAUCAAUAGUUCUGUCACAUGGUUGGGCAAACUGCCUGGGAAACAAAAUUAUAAUCACAAGCUUGCUUGGAAGCAGGGACUCGAUUGUUGGGGUCCUGUUACUAAUAACAGGAGCAAUUAUUUACUGAGCAGUGAGUAUAUUUCAGGCUCUAUGCUCAGUGCCUAAUGUGCGCUUUCUCACGGAUCCACACGUCAACUCCACGAGGCAGGCAGCGUCACCACCACAGUUUUACAGGUGCAGAAGCUAAGGCUCUGGAUUAUUAAAAACCUUCUCAAGCUCAUGCAACCAACUGGUUCAACACAGCCCUGUGGAAAGCUUUGGUGUGAAGCAUGCAGAAAAUUCCAGGAAUUACGCAAUUGUGCAGCAGACCCAUGAUGUAAACCUUUCAGCAGGUGGAAAGCUUUGGUGUGAAGCAUGCAGAAAAUUCCAGGAAUUACGCAAUUGUGCAGCAGACCCAUGAUGUAAACCUUUCAGCACAAACACCCUCCACUUUGGCUUGAUGUGGUAGCACGACUACUGUGCCACUUCCUGAUAUGUUUCUUCCCUCAAGCCAUUUUAACAGAGAAAAAUAUCUUUAACUCUGGCAAAACAGAAGAGCUGUCCACACCCUGCCAGAAGAGGCCCAGACCGGUUCAAUAAACUUGGACUGUGCGUGACUCCAUCCUCAUCACAAGCAGUGUGUUUCUCUAGUGCAGUGGUUCUCAAGUGUGGUCCCUGGACCAGCAGCAUCAGCAUCCCCUGGGCAGAUGUUCACCAUUUGAGACCCACUCACGCAGGGACACACAGAUGGGGCAUGGCCACAUGUGUUUAAAAAACCCUCCUGGUGGGUCCACCACACAUGUCUGAGAACUAUGCUCUGCCACAUUUAGUCUGUCCAUCGUGAGAAAGGCCAGCCAGCCGUCAAAAGACCGGCUGGGGAGAUUUCCACUGCUGGGUCAUUUGGCAGAGUUUAGGGCUGAGACAGGUUGAAGCUAAUGCUGCUAGGUCACCCCCUCAGUUCCAGAAAAAACGCAAAAUCCACGUCCAGUGUUCUCUGGGUCUUGACAGCGUGUGGCGAGUGACGAGCAAACUUGGCUUUUUCUAAAUGGGUGAUGAUGCAACAGAGUAACAACCUGUUUUCCUGCUCUUUUGCCAGACUUCCGGGUCAUUCAACAUGUAAAAUCAGAAGUGUUCUGGAUUUUACAGCCUGCAUUAAGAUAUGGAAUGAGAUUUCUUUAAAAAUAUUUCCACAAACCAUGUAUAAAUACAUCUAUUACGUAAGGCUAAGUACGUUAAUUUGAAGGAUAAUAAUGGCCGUUGACCGAGUGUUCCUGUUGCCGGGUACUGUUUGAGGGGCUCCGUAUCAACACUUCCAUCUUCACAGUAGUCAUUCCCUGUAUUUCCAGGUGAGGAGCCUUAAUCACAGAUGGGGAGCCCCGUGCCCAGGACUCCAGCCUGUGCGCGGCGGGGCGUGGGUCCCGAGCUCUCGCCCGUUACACAGGGCCGCUUCUGAGGACGGAGGGGGGCGCUGGGCUGACUCGGGAGGGGGUGGCCGCUGCCCAAGCCCCCUGUGCAGACCUCACCUCCGAAGACAGGAUUUCAAAGGGUUAUAAUCACACUUCGUAUUUUCUAAGAUGCAAAACUUUUCAUAUUUUAAAAUCUCUGAAUUGGGGUUGUCUUAAAUUUGAUGGCUGAAAAACUUCAUUGUGUCAUUGGUUUGGCUGGAAAUAGUUUUUCUUUCUUGGCAGUACAGUGUACUUUACAAUCAAUGGCAUCUUGGAUUUGAUGAAAUAUAAACUUUGAAGGCGGUAGUUUUUGCCAGAUUUUAAUUUGUUAUACUUGAUUACCUGCCCAAUAAGAUGCAUAUUCUCAAUUCCAUUAGGGUAUUUGGGAAGUACUGAAGGAGAGAAAAAUCUUAUGCUAAGAAAAUAGUCAAAAUAUUAUAUCAAAAUACUAUUUAAAUAUUUUCUAGGUCCAGAUUUCAGCCAGGAAGAACUUCUCCAUCCUUUUAUUUCCUUUACUUAUAAGUUUUGUCUUUCUCUCUGACCUAGUUUUCACUAAGAAAUAGAAGAGGGGAAAAAGGAAGAGAGAAACGACGUGGAAAAAAAGCCCUUGGCUGGAUGGCUGUGUCCCACAUGGAAAGAAUUAAACGGCAUGGCCAGUGUGCAAGGCUGCGGGCCAAGGCUGCCAGGCGUGGAGAGCAUGUGUGGCUCUGGAUGAGGCCGUCAGGCCCGGCUGCGUGACCUCCAGGCUGAGCCAGAUGCUUUGUCGUCAGCUCCUCAAAUCGCUGGCCUGGCUCGCAUUUUUUCUCAGAAGGAUACACAGCCUACACACAGGUACACUUGGGAACAAUGCCCGACAGCAAAAUUAGGUUCCUCGCUAAUUUCCCACACAUCUGGAUCUGUCUGGAAAGUUACAGACAGUGCACACAGAGGACAGCUCUGCCAUCGGGCAGGAGGGGUCCUUUCCUCCCCAGGCAGAGUGACGAGCAGGGGCUGGCUGGAGGCCUGGCGUGGGGUAGGGAGGCUGCAUCUUGGACAGCAAAGAGAGGUUUGGGAUGCUGUGGUGUCCAGCUGGCCCUGCUGCCUAUCAGUCAUGGUCUCUGUUUGUUUAUAUUACCUAGAAAGCUGGCAGAGAGCCACCCAGACAUGAAUGUAUCAGCUUGUGCAAGAAUACCCAACAGCCUGUGCUGUCAAAGAGGCAACUGGGGGAGGGCCUGGAUGCAGAGGGGCGGCCUGCAGCUUGCCGCUGGUAGGGGCAGGCUGGCCAGGCUCGAGGGGGCACUUCCACUGAGGCAAUGGAAACCGUCUCCCCGCUCGCCCCUCCAUCCUAGGUCCCUCCUAUUAUCUCUUGGCUCCCAGACUAGGAUGAGUUCUGACACCCCUGGGCUUCUGCUCGUAUCUUUCCUCCUGAGAAGAACAUCUCCCUCCCAUGUUCCCACAGCCAGUCUCCUCCCCGACUCUUUCACCUGGCCAUCCUGUUGCAAGGGGGGAAAACUGGGGGACCCCUCGCACUGAAUCAGCCUGAAGAGUUCUUUUGUUCAGCCUGCAAGUGGCUUGAAAGUCAUGAGACUUCACGGACAAAUCCAGCUUGUUUUACAAACAGGAAGAUGUAGCAGUAUUGGGAUUGCACUGCCACAUGGCAAUAAUUAACUGGCUCUAAGUAGCAGCUGUCCCCAUCGGAUGAGACAUAAACAGUACAUUUCUCCAAGGUCUUCACUACUCCCUAUUGCAUUUUGGCUGUAUACCCUUGUGGCACACUGUACCUGUUCUAAAUCUCUGUUCUUCUUCUAAUUACACUGCCACUACAAUGAUUUCUUUCCAUGUCGCUCUUCCCUAUUAAACUGGAGGGGAAGACCUGUGUCCUGUUCAUCUUUCCUGGCACUGUUCCUGGCGCGUAGCAGGUAAAUGCUGAAGGAGCAUCUGAACGGAUGAAGGAGGCGUGGCAGAGAGGGACGUGUCUGAGCAUCUCUCAAACCGUCAGUCACCUCCACUGCUUUUGUGGUGUUAGCCGACAGAGAUGCUGGAAGGGACGGCACCGUGCCUAACGCAUUCUGACAACUGCUGGGGUCAACGAAAACCAGCCAGCACCUCUGGGUGACAGCAACAGGAGAACGGUAGCAUGAAGAGAAACUCACCUUUGAGUGGAUACCAAGAGUAUCCAUUUGUAAUCCCGUUAGGAAAGUUCAUUUUGUUUUUACAGUGAUCUCCUUUCUUCAUGUUGGCAUUUUU